UAUCCAAAAAUUGGACAAAAUUCUUACAUCUUUAGUAUAGAGAUUUGGUGCAUGGGUUUAAGGAAGAAAAAAGAAGAAAGGGUUCUUCUCAUGAUCUCUGGUGUAGAGAUUAUUAUCCUUCUACUUUUUCUUCUUUUCUAAGAUUGUCUUGAGAGAAAAGAAGUUUUUCAACUAUCAAAAUGCGAUCUCUGCAAGGAAGCUAACACCCC
rnacentral:lncRNA from 1 species